UACAGAGGGGGCAAGCGUUGUUCGGAAUUACUGGGCGUAAAGGGUGCGUAGGCGGCGCGGUAAGUCGGGUGUGAAAUCUCGGAGCUUAACUCCGAAACUGCAUUCGAUACUGCCGUGCUUGAGGACUGGAGAGGAGACUGGAAUUUACGGUGUAGCGGUGAAAUGCGUAGAUAUCGUAAGGAAGACCAGUGGCGAAGGCGGGUCUCUGGACAGUUCCUGACGCUGAGGCACGAAGGUCAGGGGAGCGAACGGG
rnacentral:rRNA from 1 species